AGACUGAGCGGUUGCGGCCACGUUGUCGACCUCGAGCAGCAGUUGGCUUCUCCACGUAGAACUCGGGAGUAGGAGAUUCAGAAUUGAAUCCCUUCUCCCUCCCCCCUCCUGGGCAGCAAGGCGAACCCCAUCCCUACUCACUGGAGCUCAGCUUUGAUUUUUAACCUCCCUUCCCCACCCUUCCAGAACACACACAUUCCCAUUCCAAAACUGAUUUUAUAAAGACAUUUUAAACAUAAUGAUGCAACUUGGUGUGCACUACGGCAAAUUUACAGGUGUUUUUUUUUAAUUGUUUCCAAUAA